rnacentral:rRNA from 2 species
UGGUAUUGAUUGGUGCUUGCAUCAUGAUUUACAUUUGAGUGAGUGGCGAACUGGUGAGUAACACGUGGGAAACCUGCCCAGAAGCGGGGGAUAACACCUGGAAACAGAUGCUAAUACCGCAUAACAACUUGGACCGCAUGGUCCGAGUUUGAAAGAUGGCUUCGGCUAUCACUUUUGGAUGGUCCCGCGGCGUAUUAGCUAGAUGGUGAGGUAACGGCUCACCAUGGCAAUGAUACGUAGCCGACCUGAGAGGGUAAUCGGCCACAUUGGGACUGAGACACGGCCCAAACUCCUACGGGAGGCAGCAGUAGGGAAUCUUCCACAAUGGACGAAAGUCUGAUGGAGCAACGCCGCGUGAGUGAAGAAGGGUUUCGGCUCGUAAAACUCUGUUGUUAAAGAAGAACAUAUCUGAGAGUAACUGUUCAGGUAUUGACGGUAUUUAACCAGAAAGCCACGGCUAACUACGUGCCAGCAGCCGCGGUAAUACGUAGGUGGCAAGCGUUGUCCGGAUUUAUUGGGCGUAAAGCGAGCGCAGGCGGUUUUUUAAGUCUGAUGUGAAAGCCUUCGGCUCAACCGAAGAAGUGCAUCGGAAACUGGGAAACUUGAGUGCAGAAGAGGACAGUGGAACUCCAUGUGUAGCGGUGAAAUGCGUAGAUAUAUGGAAGAACACCAGUGGCGAAGGCGGCUGUCUGGUCUGUAACUGACGCUGAGGCUCGAAAGUAUGGGUAGCAAACAGGAUUAGAUACCCUGGUAGUCCAUACCGUAAACGAUGAAUGCUAAGUGUUGGAGGGUUUCCGCCCUUCAGUGCUGCAGCUAACGCAUUAAGCAUUCCGCCUGGGGAGUACGGCCGCAAGGCUGAAACUCAAAGGAAUUGACGGGGGCCCGCACAAGCGGUGGAGCAUGUGGUUUAAUUCGAAGCUACGCGAAGAACCUUACCAGGUCUUGACAUACUAUGCAAAUCUAAGAGAUUAGACGUUCCCUUCGGGGACAUGGAUACAGGUGGUGCAUGGUUGUCGUCAGCUCGUGUCGUGAGAUGUUGGGUUAAGUCCCGCAACGAGCGCAACCCUUAUUAUCAGUUGCCAGCAUUAAGUUGGGCACUCUGGUGAGACUGCCGGUGACAAACCGGAGGAAGGUGGGGAUGACGUCAAAUCAUCAUGCCCCUUAUGACCUGGGCUACACACGUGCUACAAUGGAUGGUACAACGAGUUGCGAACUCGCGAGAGUAAGCUAAUCUCUUAAAGCCAUUCUCAGUUCGGAUUGUAGGCUGCAACUCGCCUACAUGAAGUCGGAAUCGCUAGUAAUCGCGGAUCAGCAUGCCGCGGUGAAUACGUUCCCGGGCCUUGUACACACCGCCCGUCACACCAUGAGAGUUUGUAACACCCAAAGUCGGUGGG